rfam:Triticum aestivum genome assembly, contig: Triticum_aestivum_CS42_TGACv1_scaffold_405896_5BL
CAAGUACUCCCUCCGUCCGGAAUUACUUGUCAUCAAAAUGGAUGUGUCUAGAACUAAAAUACAUUUAGAUACAUCCAUUUCAAUGACAAGUAUUUUCGGACGGAGGGAGUACAAG